rnacentral:rRNA from 1 species
GUGGCGGACGGGUGAGUAACACUUGGGAUCGUGCCUUUAGGUUCGGACUUGCUCCUGGAUACGGGUGGUAAUGCCGAAUGUGCCCUUCGGGGGAAAGAUUUAUCGCCUUUAGAGCAACCCGCGUCUGAUUAGCUAGUUGGUGAGGUAAUGGCUCACCAAGGCGACGAUCAGUAGCUGGUCUGAGAGGAUGACCAGCCACGUUGGGACUGAGACACGGCCCAUACUCCUACGGGAGGCAGCAUCGGGGAAUCUUGCCCCCUGGGCGAAAGCCUGACGCAGCCUUGCCGCGUGAAUGAUGAAGGUCUUAGGAUUGUAAAAUUCUUUCCCCGGGGACGAUAAUGACGGUACCCGGAUAAAAAGCCCCGGCUAACUUCUUGCCCACCGCCUUGGUAAUACGAAGGGGGGUNNNNUUGCUCGGAAUUACUGGGCGUAAAGGGCGCGUAGGCAAAUUUUUAAAUCAGGGGUGAAAUCCCAAAGCUCAACUCUGGAACUGCCUUUGAUACUGGUAAUCUUGAGUGUGAUAGAGGUAUGUGGAACUCCGAGUGUACAGGUGAAUUUCUUAGAUAUUCGGAAAAACCCCGGUGGCGAAGGC